rnacentral:rRNA from 1 species
AACCCUAAUUAAUAAACUUCGGCGUAAAGAGUGUUAAAAAUAAAGCUAAAAUAAGAUUAAAUCCUGUCUAGGCCGUAAAAAACAAUAGACAGAAGUAAACCCAUAAACGAAAGUAAUCUUAAUAAAUAUGAGUACACUAAAGCUAAGACUCAAACUGGGAUUAGAUACCCCACUAUGCUUAGCCAUAAACAAAAAUAUUUAACAACAAAAAUACUCGCCAGAGAACUACUAGCAAUAGCUUAAAACUCAAAGGACUUGGCGGUGCUUUAAACCCACCUAGAGGAGCCUGUUCUGUAAUCGAUAAACCCCGAUAGACCUCACCACUUCUCGCUAAUU